UACCUCAAAAAACCACAACAGUCUGUUUCAUCCGUAUAGGAAUCAUCAGGUGGUCUGAUGAUUCCUAUACGGAUGAUUCCUAUACAGACCACCUGAUGAUUCCUAUACGGAUGAAACAGACUGUUGUGGUUUUU